rnacentral:tRNA from 1 species
GGAUGAGUGGUCUAGUGGUUAAGAUACUUGUCUCACACACAGGUGAUCGGGAGUUCAAAUCUCUCCUCAUCCA